rnacentral:rRNA from 1 species
CUACGGGAGGCAGCAGUGGGGAAUCUUGCGCAAUGGGCGAAAGCCUGACGCAGCAACGCCGCGUGCGGGAUGAAUGCCUUCGGGUUGUAAACCGCUUUCAGCAGGGACGAAAAUGACGGUACCUGCAGAAGAAGCCCCGGCUAACUACGUGCCAGCAGCCGCGGUAAUACGUAGGGGGCAAGCGUUGUCCGGAUUUAUUGGGCGUAAAGAGCUCGUAGGCGGUUUCGUAAGUCGAGUGUGAAAAACCUGGGCUCAACCCAGUGGAGCACUCGAUACUGCGAUGACUAGAGUUCGGUAGAGGAGUGUGGAAUUCCUGGUGUAGCGGUGAAAUGCGCAGAUAUCAGGAGGAACACCGACGGCGAAGGCAGCACUCUGGGCCGGUACUGACGCUGAGGAGCGAAAGCGUGGGGAGCAAACAGGAUUAGAUACCCGUGUAGUCC